rnacentral:rRNA from 1 species
GACGAACGCUGGCGGCGUGCUUAACACAUGCAAGUCGAACGGAAAGGCCCUGCUUGCAGGGUACUCGAGUGGCGAACGGGUGAGUAACACGUGGGUGAUCCGCCCUGCACUUCGGGAUAAGCCUGGGAAACUGGGUCUAAUACCGGAUAUGACCUUCCAUGUAGUGUGGGGGGUGGAAAGAUUUAUCGGUGUGGGAUGAGCCCGCGGCCUAUCAGCUUGUUGGUGGGGUAAUGGCCUACCAAGGCGUCGACGGGUAGCCGGCCUGAGAGGGUGGACGGCCACAUUGGGACUGAGAUACGGCCCAGACUCCUACGGGAGGCAGCAGUGGGGAAUAUUGCACAAUGGGCGGAAGCCUGAUGCAGCGACGCCGCGUGGGGGAUGACGGCCUUCGGGUUGUAAACCUCUUUCGACAGGGACGAAGCUUCGAUGACGGUACCUGUAUAAGAAGCACCGGCUAACUACGUG